GCCCGGAUGGCGGAACUGGUAGACGCGCUGGACUCAAAAUCCAGUGGUGGCAACACCGUGGGGGUUCGAUUCCCUUUCCGGGCA
rnacentral:tRNA from 1 species